GAUGAACGCUGGCGGCGUGCCUAAUACAUGCAAGUCGAGCGAACGGACGAGAAGCUUGCUUCUCUGAUGUUAGCGGCGGACGGGUGAGUAACACGUGGAUAACCUACCUAUAAGACUGGGAUAACUUCGGGAAACCGGAGCUAAUACCGGAUAAUAUUUUGAACCGCAUGGUUCAAAAGUGAAAGACGGUCUUGCUGUCACUUAUAGAUGGAUCCGCGCUGCAUUAGCUAGUUGGUAAGGUAACGGCUUACCAAGGCAACGAUGCAUAGCCGACCUGAGAGGGUGAUCGGCCACACUGGAACUGAGACACGGUCCAGACUCCUACGGGAGGCAGCAGUAGGGAAUCUUCCGCAAUGGGCGAAAGCCUGACGGAGCAACGCCGCGUGAGUGAUGAAGGUCUUCGGAUCGUAAAACUCUGUUAUUAGGGAAGAACAUAUGUGUAAGUAACUGUGCACAUCUUGACGGUACCUAAUCAGAAAGCCACGGCUAACUACGUGCCAGCAGCCGCGGUAAUACGUAGGUGGCAAGCGUUAUCCGGAAUUAUUGGGCGUAAAGCGCGCGUAGGCGGUUUUUUAAGUCUGAUGUGAAAGCCCACGGCUCAACCGUGGAGGGUCAUUGGAAACUGGAAAACUUGAGUGCAGAAGAGGAAAGUGGAAUUCCAUGUGUAGCGGUGAAAUGCGCAGAGAUAUGGAGGAACACCAGUGGCGAAGGCGACUUUCUGGUCUGUAACUGACGCUGAUGUGCGAAAGCGUGGGGAUCAAACAGGAUUAGAUACCCUGGUAGUCCACGCCGUAAACGAUGAGUGCUAAGUGUUAGGGGGUUUCCGCCCCUUAGUGCUGCAGCUAACGCAUUAAGCACUCCGCCUGGGGAGUACGACCGCAAGGUUGAAACUCAAAGGAAUUGACGGGAACCCGCACAAGCGGUGGAGCAUGUGGUUUAAUUCGAAGCAACGCGAAGAACCUUACCAAAUCUUGACAUCCUUUGACAACUCUAGAGAUAGAGCCUUCCCCUUCGGGGGACAAAGUGACAGGUGGUGCAUGGUUGUCGUCAGCUCGUGUCGUGAGAUGUUGGGUUAAGUCCCGCAACGAGCGCAACCCUUAAGCUUAGUUGCCAUCAUUAAGUUGGGCACUCUAAGUUGACUGCCGGUGACAAACCGGAGGAAGGUGGGGAUGACGUCAAAUCAUCAUGCCCCUUAUGAUUUGGGCUACACACGUGCUACAAUGGACAAUACAAAGGGCAGCGAAACCGCGAGGUCAAGCAAAUCCCAUAAAGUUGUUCUCAGUUCGGAUUGUAGUCUGCAACUCGACUACAUGAAGCUGGAAUCGCUAGUAAUCGUAGAUCAGCAUGCUACGGUGAAUACGUUCCCGGGUCU
rnacentral:rRNA from 1 species